rnacentral:rRNA from 1 species
GAUGAACGCUGGCGGCGUGCCUAAUACAUGCAAGUCGAGCGAACAGACGAGGAGCUUGCUCCUCUGACGUUAGUGGCGGACGGGUGAGUAACACGUGGAUAACCUUCCUAUAAGACUGGGAUAACUUCGGGAAACCGGAGCUAAUACCGGAUAACAUGUUGAACCGCAUGGUUCAACAGUGAAAGACGGUUUUGCUGUCACUUAUAGAUGGAUCCGCGUCGCAUUAGCUAGUUGGUAAGGUAACGGCUUACCAAGGCAACGAUGCGUAGCCGACCUGAGAGGGUGAUCGGCCACACUGGAACUGAGACACGGUCCAGACUCCUACGGGAGGCAGCAGUAGGGAAUCUUCCGCAAUGGGCGAAAGCCUGACGGAGCAACGCCGCGUGAGUGAAGAAGGUCUUCGGAUCGUAAAACUCUGUUAUUAGGGAAGAACAAAUGUGUAAGUAACUAUGCACGUCUUGACGGUACCUAAUCAGAAAGCCACGGCUAACUACGUG